UAAUAUUAAAGUGUUGUGUUUACGUUUCUUAAAAUUUGAUUGAGGCUAAACAAAAUUAGAAAACGGAACCUAAUUGUGAGGACGACCCCAAUGGUUGAAAAACUUCUUCAGAGUCUAAGCUGAUAUGUUUUGGGAGUUUAACUGGUCUUUAAACUUGAAAAUGACACCACAAAAUGAGAUUUGUCACUAGAUUAGUACUUAUGUUAGAUAGCAAUAUACAUAAAUUUGA